rnacentral:lncRNA from 1 species
UCUCAGCUCCAGGACUGGAUCCACUGCACAGUUGGAGGGAAUCAAGGGACUGCCUCCGUGGGAUGGAGGAGAACCUGGGAGACGUGGCCCUUGUUUGGUGCUGUGACCGGAGAAGAACCACUGUGGAGAUGCAGAGUUUGGGCGGUAAACUCCCAGGACAGCUUUUUUCUCAAUGCCGUGGCAUCCCCCACCCCAAGGCCUGUUCUCCUCUUCCGAGUCAUCGGGAUGUCUCCCCAUCAGAGUCUGGAUGCUGGGUGGAUGGAGAAGAGCAAGCAGCCAACUGCCGUAUUUGACAGGCCUAGGGAUGGGGGCAGCCCAGGAAAUGAAGAGCAGUUGCCAGGACCGCCCAGCCGAGAAAAUAUGAACAAGAUGCCUCGUGCUACUGAUGAACUUCCAACUCUUACAGCCUUGAGGGACGGCAGGGAGAUGGGCUGCUAUCCCAGGCACUCCCAUAUUUGUUCUCAGCUGUGCUUCACCCUGAGUGUGGGAAGUCCCUGGCUGUGGUCGCAUCCACAGCCAUAAAAUGUCCU